UGGCUCAGGAUGAACGCCGGCGGUGUGCCUAAUACAUGCAAGUCGUACGCACUGGCCCAACUGAUUGAUGGUGCUUGCACCUGAUUGACGAUGGAUCACCAGUGAGUGGCGGACGGGUGAGUAACACGUAGGUAACCUGCCCCGGAGCGGGGGAUAACAUUUGGAAACAGAUGCUAAUACCGCAUAACAAUAAAAGCCGCAUGGCUUUUAUUUGAAAGAUGGCUUUGGCUAUCACUCUGGGAUGGACCUGCGGUGCAUUAGCUAGUUGGUAAGGUAACGGCUUACCAAGGCGAUGAUGCAUAGCCGAGUUGAGAGACUGAUCGGCCACAAUGGAACUGAGACACGGUCCAUACUCCUACGGGAGGCAGCAGUAGGGAAUCUUCCACAAUGGGCGCAAGCCUGAUGGAGCAACACCGCGUGAGUGAAGAAGGGUUUCGGCUCGUAAAGCUCUGUUGUUGGAGAAGAACGUGCGUGAGAGUAACUGUUCAUGCAGUGACGGUAUCCAACCAGAAAGUCACGGCUAACUACGUGCCAGCAGCCGCGGUAAUACGUAGGUGGCAAGCGUUAUCCGGAUUUAUUGGGCGUAAAGCGAGCGCAGGCGGUUGCUUAGGUCUGAUGUGAAAGCCUUCGGCUUAACCGAAGAAGUGCAUCGGAAACCGGGCGACUUGAGUGCAGAAGAGGACAGUGGAACUCCAUGUGUAGCGGUGGAAUGCGUAGAUAUAUGGAAGAACACCAGUGGCGAAGGCGGCUGUCUGGUCUGCAACUGACGCUGAGGCUCGAAAGCAUGGGUAGCGAACAGGAUUAGAUACCCUGGUAGUCCAUGCCGUAAACGAUGAGUGCUAGGUGUUGGAGGGUUUCCGCCCUUCAGUGCCGGAGCUAACGCAUUAAGCACUCCGCCUGGGGAGUACGACCGCAAGGUUGAAACUCAAAGGAAUUGACGGGGGCCCGCACAAGCGGUGGAGCAUGUGGUUUAAUUCGAAGCUACGCGAAGAACCUUACCAGGUCUUGACAUCUUGCGCUAACCUUAGAGAUAAGGCGUUCCCUUCGGGGACGCAAUGACAGGUGGUGCAUGGUCGUCGUCAGCUCGUGUCGUGAGAUGUUGGGUUAAGUCCCGCAACGAGCGCAACCCUUGUUACUAGUUGCCAGCAUUGAGUUGGGCACUCUAGUGAGACUGCCGGUGACAAACCGGAGGAAGGUGGGGACGACGUCAGAUCAUCAUGCCCCUUAUGACCUGGGCUACACACGUGCUACAAUGGACGGUACAACGAGUUGCAAACUCGCGAGAGCAAGCUAAUCUCUUAAAGCCGUUCUCAGUUCGGACUGUAGGCUGCAACUCGCCUACACGAAGUCGGAAUCGCUAGUAAUCGCGGAUCAGCAUGCCGCGGUGAAUACGUUCCCGGGCCUUGUACACACCGCCCGUCACACCAUGGGAGUUUGUAACGCCCAAAGUCGGUGGCCUAACCUUUGUGGAGGGAGCCGCCUAAGGCGGGACAGAUGACUGGGGUGAAGUCGUA
rnacentral:rRNA from 1 species